GAUGAACGCUAGCGGCAGGCUUAAUACAUGCAAGUCGAGGGGCAGCACGGGUAGCAAUAUCUGGUGGCGACCGGCAAACGGGUGCGGAACACGUACAGAACCUUCCUUUAAAGUGGGGGAUAGCCCAGAGAAAUUUGGAUUAAUACCCCGUAACAUUAUGGAGUGGCAUCACUUUAUAAUUAUAGAUUUAUCGCUUAAAGAUGGCUGUGCGGCUGAUUAGGUAGUUGGCGGGAACGGCCCACCAAGCCUUCGAUCAGUAACUGGUGUGAGAGCACGACCAAGUCACACGGGCACUGAGACACGGCCCAGACUCCGUACGGGAGCAGCAGUCGGGAAUCUUGCGCAAU
rnacentral:rRNA from 1 species